rnacentral:rRNA from 1 species
CCUACGGGUGGCAGCAGUGAGGAAUAUUGGUCAAUGGCCGGAAGGCUGAACCAGCCAUGCCGCGUGAAGGUCAGUGCCCUAUGGGCGUUAAACUUCUUUUGUGCGGGAGCAAUAAUGGUCACGUGUGGCCAGACGAGAGUACCGUACGAAUAAGCAUCGGCUAACUCCGUGCCAGCAGCCGCGGUAAUACGGGGGAUGCAAGCGUUAUCCGGAUUUAUUGGGUUUAAAGGGUGCGUAGGCUGGGAGGUAAGGCAGCGGUGAAAUGCCCCCGCUCAACGGGGUGAAGUGCCAUUGAUACUGCCUGGCUGGAAUGCGGAUGCCGUGGGAGGAAUGUGUGGUGUAGCGGUGAAAUGCAUAGAUAUCACACAGAACACCGAUUGCGAAGGCAUCUCACGAAUCCGCGAUUGACGCUGAUGCACGAAAGCGUGGGUAUCAAACAGGAUUAGAUACCCGAGUAGUC